CAAGAAGUUUAUACAGAAUACAAAGAAGUUAUGUUUGAAGGUGACUCUAUCUAAUAGUAAGCAUAAACAUUAUAAAUUAAGAUCAGAAGUAGAUGAAUUAGAAUCUACCUUGCUACAAAUACAAGAUAAUGAAGUAAAAAGAAAGAAGGACCAAGGUAAAUGUAACACACAGACCUUAACAGAGAAGCAGAGAUAUAUCCAUAUUGGAAAGAUGAAAUGGAUUAUUAUCAAACAGGUUAAGUACAAGACAACAAAUAAAUGCCCUAUGGACUUGAUCAUCUCUAAACCAGAAAACCAUGCCAUUCCUGCCUAUGCAGAAGAGCUUUUCACGAAAGGGCCUAACUAUGCUAUAAUAGUAGAACAAGAUAUAAUAUUGGGUUUACCAGAAAUAGAGCAGAUUUUUACAUAUCAAAGUCUGUACAAAAAGAAAAGACAAGAUGGGCAUACGUCUUUUGAAAAGAAAGAGAAAC
rnacentral:lncRNA from 1 species